rnacentral:rRNA from 1 species
GACGAACGCUGGCGGCGUGCUUAACACAUGCAAGUCGAACGGAAAGGCCCUGCUUUUGUGGGGUGCUCGAGUGGCGAACGGGUGAGUAACACGUGAGUAACCUGACCUUGACUUUGGGAUAACUUCAGGAAACUGGGGCUAAUACCGGAUAGGAGCUCCUGCUGCAUUGUGGGGGUUGGAAAGUUUCGGCGGUUGGGGAUGGACGCGCGGCUUAUCAGCUUGUUGGUGGGGUAGUGGCUUACCAAGGCUUUGACGGGUAGCCGGCCUGAGAGGGUGACCGGCCACAUUAGGACUGAGAUACGGCCCAGACUCCUACGGGAGGCAGCAGUGGGGAAUAUUGCACAAUGGGCGGAAGCCUGAUGCAGCAACGCCGCGUGCGGGAUGACGGCCUGCGGGUUGUAAACCGCUUUCGCCUGUGACGAAGCGUGAGUGACGGUAAUGGGUAAAGAAGCACCGGCUAACUACGUG